CCGAACAUGCAAUGUUUCGAACCAAAUUCAAACCAAAAUAAACCAAAAUUUGUAAAUAUCCGAAUCAUAUUUAAAUUUCUAACUAUAAAAAUCGAAAAUCUAAAUAGAUCAACUGAAUCUGAACGGAUAUAUGAAUAUCGAUCCCUUGAAAAGCUAUAAGAUAAAUCUCUUAUUACAACAUAAAUAAAUAUUUUAACAAAUUAUUUCACUUCGUCCACGGCAUGCUACACAGUACACUGUUAUUAAAACAAAAAUAUGAAAACUUUAGUGCCCUUCUGACAAAAAAUGAAAAUAUUUACUACCCAUAUUAGAUAAUCUUCAUCGAUCAGAGAAGCC
rnacentral:lncRNA from 1 species